rnacentral:rRNA from 1 species
UACGGAGGGUGCAAGCGUUAAUCGGAAUUACUGGGCGUAAAGCGCGCGUAGGCGGAAUUUUAAGUCAGAAGUGAAAUCCCCCGGCUUAACCGGGGAAUAGCUUUUGAUACUGAGAUUCUUGAGUUCAGGAGAGGGUGGCGGAAUUCCAGGUGUAGGAGUGAAAUCCGUAGAGAUCUGGAGGAACAUCAGUGGCGAAGGCGGCCACCUGGACUGAUACUGACGCUGAGGUGCGAAAGCGUGGGGAGCAAACAGG